rnacentral:rRNA from 11 species
AACACUGGCCUUAAUAACUGAAAUGCACCAGAUCCCAUCUGAUCAUGGAAGCCAAGCAGGAUCAGUUCUUGAUAGUAUUUGGAUGGGAGAGAGCCAAGAAAUGACAGGUGCCAUAGGUU